rnacentral:tRNA from 1 species
GUCAGGAUGGUCGAGUGGUCUAAGGCACUAGACUUAAGUUUUGGUCCUCAUAAGAGGGUGUGAGUUCAAAUCCCACUUUUGACU